UGAACGCUGGCGGCGUGCCUAAUACAUGCAAGUCGAGCGAACGGACGAGAAGCUUGCUUCUCUGAUGUUAGCGGCGGACGGGUGAGUAACACGUGGAUAACCUACCUAUAAGACUGGGAUAACUUCGGGAAACCGGAGCUAAUACCGGAUAAUAUUUUGAACCGCAUGGUUCAAAAGUGAAAGACGGUCUUGCUGUCACUUAUAGAUGGAUCCGCGCUGCAUUAGCUAGUUGGUAAGGUAACGGCUUACCAAGGCAACGAUGCAUAGCCGACCUGAGAGGGUGAUCGGCCACACUGGAACUGAGACUCGGUCCAGACUCCUACGGGAGGCAGCAGUAGGGAAUCUUCCGCAAUGGGCGAAAGCCUGACGGAGCAACGCCGCGUGAGUGAUGAAGGUCUUCGGAUCGUAAAACUCUGUUAUUAGGGAAGAACAUAUGUGUAAGUAACUGUGCACAUCUUGACGGUACCUAAUCAGAAAGCCACGGCUAACUACGUG
rnacentral:rRNA from 1 species